GAACACAAAAUGGCGACACGUGGUUAGCAUUCGUCGCCAACGAGAAAUUGGGGUCGGCCCGAAAGCUCUAGAAUGCACCCCCCUUCUUCCCCGGGGCCUUCCACCUCCGCGAGUUUUAUGACUUAAAAAACCCCACAGGCUGGUCUGAAGGUCGGAGGCCUAAUUUUAACGCGUUUUCCUCCCUUUAAUUUGAAACGCGAACGCGAAUGGCUGUAAAAUGUGGGCACAAUAUUUAAUUUCUCGCCUUUUUAAAGCUUAAUAGUGGAUAAUAGGGGGCAGUAUCAAGGGAUAAUUUGGGUCCCCACAGUACCAAAGCAUUUAGAAACCUCUGUUUAAUUUAAGGAAUGAGAUAAAUUACUGCUUUUCUAGACUUCCUAGCAUGGGCUGUUGUGCUGGAGAGAACGAGAGCUACGAAGAGACUACAAUGCCUCUGACUUUUUCAUAGGACAGUUGGCCGAGGAAGACAAACAUAAAGAUGAAGUGCUUAAUUCAAGGUCACACAAUGUCGGGGAUGGACCUCCAGAUUUCCUUACUGGUGAGACGUGGUCUUGUAACACAGUGGUUAAGAAUGUGACUUUGGAGCCAGCCUGCUAGGGGCUGAAUUCUGACUCAGCCAUUUACUAACUGUGUGACCUUAGGUGGAGUCUCACUCUGUAGCCCAAGCUGGAGUGGUGUGAUCUCGACUCACUGCAACCUCCGCCUCCUGGGCUCAAGUGAUUCUCGUGCCUCAGCCUCCUGAGUAGCUGGGACUACA
rnacentral:antisense_RNA from 1 species